rnacentral:rRNA from 1 species
UUAAGCUAAGAAGAGCGUAGGGAGAAUGCCUUGGCAUUAGGAGCCGACGAAGGACGUGAUAAGCUGCGAUAAGCUGCGGGGAUCAGCAAGUAUGAAUUGAUCCGCAGAUUUCCGAAUGGAGCAAUCCGUAUGUGUAUGCACAUACAUCAUAUACUGAAUCAAAUAGGUAUAUGAGGGGAACCGCCUGAACUGAAACAUCUAAGUAGGGCGAGGAAGAGAAAUCAACCGAGAUUCUGUGAGUAGUGGCGAGCGAAAGCGGAAGAGGCUAAACCAUAGGUAGCAAUACUUAUGGGGUUUCGGACAGCAUUUAGUAUUGAUAAUUUCUAGUUGAAACGUGUGGGAAAACGUACCGAAGAGUGUGAGAGUCACGUAAGCGAAAGAGAGAAUCAGCGAGCUGUAUCCAAAGUACCGCGGGACACGUGAAACCCCGUGGGAAGAUGGGGGGACCAUCCUCCAAGCCUAAAUACUACCUAAUGACCGAUAGCGAAUAGUACUGUGAAGGAACGGUGAAAAGAACCCCGGGAGGGGAGUGAAAAAGAACCUGAAACCCUAUGCUUACAAGCACCGAGAGCACGUCAAAGUGUGAUCGGGUACCUUUUGUAGAAUGGUCCGGCGAGUUAUUGUAUGCGGCAAGGUUAAGUGCUUAAGGCACGGAGCCGAAGCGAGAGCAAGUCUGAACAGGGCGAAAAAGUCGUAUGCAAUAGACCCGAAACCGAGUGACCUAUCCAUGUCCAGGCUGAAGUGGAGGUAAAACUCCAUGGAGGGCCGAACACACGUCCGUUGAAAAGGCCGGUGAUGAGGUGUGGAUAGCGGAGAAAUUCCAAUCGAACUCGGAUAUAGCUGGUUCUCUCCGAAAUAGCUUUAGGGCUAGCCUCGUGAAAGAUUACUGGAGGUAAAGCACUGAAUGGGCUAGGGGUCGAAAGAUUACUGAACCCUAUCAAACUAAGAAUGCCAGAUAAUUGAUUCACGGGAGUCAGACAAUGUGAGAUAAGUCUCAUUGUCAAAAGGGAAACAGCCCAGACCCACAGCUAAGGUCCCUAAACAUUGUUAAGUGGAAAAGGAUGUGGGGUUGCAUAAACAACCAGGAUGUUGGCUUAGAAGCAGCCACUCAUUAAAAGAGUGCGUAAUAGCUCACUGGUCGAGUGACCCUGCGCCGAAAAUUCAACGGGGCUAAACAAUGUACCGAAGCUUGGGAUUCUAGAUUUAUCUAGAGUGGUAGGAGAGCGUCGAAUAAGGGGUGAAGUCAGAGCGGAAGCGCUGGUGGACUUUAUUCGAGUGAGAAUGCCGGAAUGAGUAGCGAGAAUUAUGUGAGAAUCAUAAUGGCCGAAAAUCUAAGGUUUCCUGAGGAAGGUUCGUCCGCUCAGGGUAAGCCGGGGGCUAAGGCGAGGCGGAGACGCGUAGCCGAUGCACAUACGGUUGAAAUUCCGUAGCCACCGAAAGAUUUAAGUACAGGGACGCUUUAGAAGUGAUGUAGCCGGGCGAUGGUUGACCCGGUCGUAAGGGAUCGAAAAUGAGUAGAGAAGUCAUCAUGGAAAGAGACAAGAAAAGCUGUAUGAAUAUCUUAGGUGCCCGUACCGCAAACCGACACAGGUAGAUAGGAAGAAGAUUCUAAGGCCAACGGGAGAAGGGUUGUUAAGGAACUCGGCAAGUUGACCCCGUAACUUAGGGAUAAGGGGUGCUCAAGUGAUUGAGCCGCAGAGAAUAGGCCCAGGCGACUGUUUAGCAAAAACACAGGUCUCUGCUAAAUCGAAAGAUGACGUAUAGGGGCUGACACCUGCCCGGUGCCGGAAGGUUAAGAGGAGAUGUGAGAGCAUUGAAUUGAAGCCCCGGUAAACGGCGGCCGUAACUAUAACGGUCCUAAGGUAGCGAAAUUCCUUGUCAGGUAAGUUCUGACCCGCACGAAAGGUGUAACGAUCUGGGCACUGUCUCAACAACCCGCCCGGCGAAAUUGUAGUACCGGUGAAGAUGCCGGUUACCCGCGACUAGACGGAAAGACCCCAUGGAGCUUUACUGUAGCCUAAUAUUGGAUUU